UGCUACGUUGGAAACAUUAUU
rnacentral:piRNA from 1 species